GCAUGCUGUCAGGUUUGUCCUUGUAUGUCGCUAGUAUUGACUGCCGCCUUGGUUGUACGUACAUAAUAUACACAUCCAUGAAGAGAAAAAAGAACACUGUUCCCGAUGAGUGGGAUUGUCCAUCACGUGACCAGCUCACUGUGGAUUGCGUUUACAUUGUUUGUCGAAAAUACACGUUGAUAGCUUCGCAUGUUUACCAGGAGUAUGCACGAGGAUCGGAGAGGCCCACAGCCUGCGAGGUACUUGAGCAAUGUUGUGAGUGCAGGCUAACAUAGUCGGAAAGGAUUACGACAUCGUCGUCGCUCUUUCGUUCAGGGACCAAUAAACAGCUUUGAUGAGCCAUGCCAACAUUCAGAAGACGAACACAGAACCGUCAUUCGGGGUGCCUAUGUAGAAGUUAGCCACGCUGUCUGAGCCGCCAUACCAGGGCAUGUCCAACGAGGAGGCAGGCGAAUAUUUCAAGAACGGCAGCGUCUUAAACAAGUCGGAGUGCUGUCCAGAUAAGCUACGUUCGUUGCACUCCUCAGUGGUACAGUUGUAAGUAUUGAAUAUUUAUUUUAUGUUCUGAUGUCAUUCAUUUGCAUUAACAUGAUGAUAGGGCUCUAAAAUGUGAAACCUGCAUUAAAGACUCCAGAGUGUAAGUACACACAAUGCCAGCGGAAUGUGAACAAUUGGAUGUGGCCCUUCAAUUAUGUGCAUUGGAGCGUUAGUUGAUGUGUCUAUAUAAGACACAUCCUAGGUCUGGGGGAGUGGGUUAGCGUAGCCUUUUUUUCCCUUUGCACCGAUGAGGCCCUGGUUCGAUCCCGGCUUGGCCCAGGCUUUAAGUGCAUUUGGUUUCCAGUCCAUACUCGCUCUCGCCGGUUUUCUUCGGGUACUCCAGUUUCCUCCUGCCUUUUUUCUUAACUUCGUAAUGUGAUGCUGAUUAAUAAAGAUUAAUUAAUAAUGAUUAAUAACGUAUAGUUAUUGGCGUAAAAAUAGCCUGAGUAGCUGAAACCACCAUCAUAACAAAACAACAACUACCCUACGUCAGUCAUUUUUGCUGUCUUUGUUCUCUCUGCAAGCCGUUUAUUUACCAGCUUUCCUCUUCGGGUUUUAGCACAAUAUGCUUUCCCCUUUUGCUUGUCUGCCAAGUGUUUUCUUGUAGGAGUAUUUCAGACUCCCAGGCAGCUUCGUGACUUUGGACUGCAGUGUGGUGACUGACUACCAGCAACGAUGGAGGCCACAUGUCCAGGGCCCUUCCUAAGUGGCAUUUAACUACCACAAGAGAUGACGACCGAUGUCUAGCCCAGUAUGGUGCCUGAACGGCACGGACACGCUUUCUACACUCUUGCGCAUGACGUGUGGCUGUUGAAGGCGUGGCUAUCAUCUUGCACCUGAGCAUGGCUACCUGAUGUGUGUUUAACAGAAACAGAUGCAGUGUUUUCAGCUCCGCGUCUAGCCGGAACCAAGAGCUGACGCAGGAUGUGAGCAAAAUGAGAGAUUGAACUUUAUUUAGGAGGAGGACUUGCUUUAAUUGAGCUCUACUCGAGUUCCCCACGCUCAGCGCAGCUGGCGGAUGUAACCUUGUCGAUCACUUCCCUAAGACGUGGUGCCUUGCAUUGAUAAUCGCCGGUGUUAAUUCAUUGGCCUGAAGUCACGCCAGAGAUAUAUUUUGUGUCAGUGCCGGCCCCGGCAGUGGUUAAAGCCCUUCUGGUUUCUGGACAAGUCGCUUACGCUGUAACUUUUUUCAUGGUAACUAGCGGAUGUGUAUGGGGUGUUAUAAGAAGACAGUUACGUUAGAGAGCCUAGCCCUCAAGAAACCAGAGGAAUGGUGACCAUGAGUCCACAAUGUCGGCUUCAAAAAGAACCUGUACUCGGUUUCCGUUAAAGUAUGUUGCACUGAUGGCAAAGCCAUUCAGAUCUUCGAUAUGACACAUAGGGGACAUAAACAAAAGUUGAAGUUUAAGUUAAGUACUCAAAUAAUGCACUUGUCUUUCUUUGAUGGUGUGUUACUCUGCGAGACAUGGGAAGUGCAAAGAAUUGAGACUGAGGGAAGCCAACUGCAACAUCCAAAAUCAGAUUCGUGUACCUAUGAAGAACUUGAUCAAUUACAAAUGUAGGAGAUUUUUUCCUAUGUUCUCCUUACGCUAUGACAACUUUGGUGAUCAUCAUGGGCGGAGAUCCCUGGGGAUAAUCAUCCCUCACUACUUUUCAACUCACUACCGGUACACCUUUAUGCGCACCCGUAGCCUGCACCACCAACUCCGCACUUGCCGGCAUUACGAUCUAACCUGGGAUGGAGGCAGUGCUGAGCUUGUAGGAUAAAUACGAUAUUAUCUCCCACGUGUGACAAGAAAUCUCGGCCCAUGGUUACUGUUUUCUAGUUAUUAGCGCAGAAAUUAAAAUGAUGUCCUGGACAGAUAAUCUUACAAGUGGUUUGAUGUUCUGGAUUGCCCAGAGGAAACAUGUUUUAAAAAUCAUCAGACAGUUUACCAGUUGGCUGCUUUGCAAGUAAACUUUAAUCUUUCAUGCAGACUCAAAUCAUAGUUGUACUGACUGAAAAGAUAAAACAG